GGAUGUGAGGGCGAUCUGGCUGCGGCAUCUGUCACCCCAUUGAUCGCCAGGGUUGAUUCGGCUGAUCUGGCUGGCUAGGCGGAUGUCCCCCUCCUCCCUCACUGAUCCAUGUGCGUCCCUCCCAAAGCUGUGCGCUCGGUCGAAGAGGACGACCCCCCCGCCCAGGAGAGGACUGAUCUUCGGUCAAGGGUAUACGAGUAGCUGCGCUCCCCUGCUAGAACCUCCAAACAAGAAUCUUAUCCUUGGGAAGACCAAAUGAAACACAGAAAACAGAUGAAGAUCAAGGAAGAAAUAUAGAGUGGUGUUUUU
rnacentral:snRNA from 1 species